AGGGGAGUAGCUCUAACUGGCAGAGCGCCGGUCUCCAAAACCGGAUGUUGUGGGUUCGAAUCCCGCCUCCCCUGCCA
rnacentral:tRNA from 2 species